UCACUAGGAAUGUUUGGAGGCAGAUGGAACAAGUGGGACUCGAUGAUCAAUUGAAUUAGUGGAUGAAGUUAUUCUGUAAGCGGACCUAUAGUGACAGAAGCUCCAGGUAAAUGACGACAAGGCAAUGAAAAGGUGAGAUUAUUUAUCAAAUAACAUAAGACUUGAAAGACGGAUCUCACUUGCACUGGACAACAAGUACUUUAGCGCGAGCCAGAGAGCAGAACAAUGGGCUCCACAGGCUCCAGUACCAGGUUGCGUAAAGUAGCUCCAUGUAAUAUUCCACAAGAGGAACGGGGUCCGCUCAAACCCCAAUGGACCCUCCCUUGUCUGCCGGUUGCCCUGGAGCAGCCAUCAGGGUCUUUGGGACGGAGGAAGACAACCUUACCUCCACCGAAGCAGGAAAUAACUCUUUCCUCACUUUCAGGGCAGGGACUGCAGAGAUGGGGGUGUCCACCAGUUUUCUAUAACCGGCCAGACAGGACACGCCGGCACCAGCCGAAUGAUUCAGAGAGGAUUUCUGGAGGCCUAGACGGAUCUAACCCAACAGGCUCAUCGAAAGCGAAGAGCUAACCCCCGACAAGCCAGAGAACUGAGAAGACAUAACACUGUCUAUACAUUUAAUGCCGGAGUUCCGAACUCAGAAGGGACCGAGAGGCUGAAACUUUUAAGAAGGCCCACAGAGAGGAACAUCUUCUGGGAUGAGACAACAGAAGAAAGUCUGUACCCCAGUCGCUUUCUGGAACCAAAAGCUCUGCC